rnacentral:rRNA from 1 species
GACGAACGCUGGCGGCGCGCCUAACACAUGCAAGUCGAGGGGCAGCGGGGGCAGCAAUGCCUGCCGGCGACCGGCGCACGGGUGAGUAACGCGUAUGCAACUUGCCUAUCAGAGGGGAAUAGCCCGGCGAAAGUCGGAUUAAUGCUCCAUAAAACAGGGGUCCCGCAUGGGAAUAUUUGUUAAAGAUUCAUCGCUGAUAGAUAGGCAUGCGUUCCAUUAGGCAGUUGGCGGGGUAACGGCCCACCAACCGACGAUGGAUAGGGGUUCUGAGAGGAAGGUCCCCCACAUUGGUACUGAGACACGGGACCAA